AUGGAGCACACAUGCUCAGUAUGCCAGGGGCUGACCCUUGCCUGGGCAUGCCUCCUGUCACUAGGGUCACACAAGGUCUGCCCCUUUAAAAAGGGGCAGUGAAGACAGACCCAGUGGGAACACCAUUUCUAUCUGAACCAGACCAACUCCACGUCAGGUUGCCUGUCCACCCCAGAGACUCUGCUGGCACCCCAUUCUGGACAACACCGAGCUGAAGGAGACCCUGACUGGCCGUCAAGGAGCAGCUUUCAGCCUGGGAUAGGCAUGGCAAGACAGUGAGGUGAGAGGUUACCCCAGAGACAGGUGGGCAGCUGGUGGAGACCCAGUGAAGAUGCCACCCUGUUAAACUGAGAUUGGGAGCUUUCAGAAUCAGUCACUGGAAUACAGGUGCAGAUCAUAAGCAGAAGUAAAUCAUCAAUUUCAAAUGACACCUGAACGAGAGAUGGCCUUUCACUUUUGCAUGCCGGGAUGUAAAUAUUAUUUUGUAUACUCAAGUUUUGUAACUGAGGAAAAUAUUAAAUGUGGCCAUUCUAAUACAUUGCAGUUAAAAUACAGCACCUGACAAUAAAAGCAAUAAAACAUUUAAUAGAAUCCCUAUGUCCAUAGGAAAGAAAUUAACAGCUGUAUUUCUGGACUGCUGAGAAUAAAAGACAAAUAUCAAACGGAUGUUAUUUCAGUAGAACAGGUAUGAAGAUAUGUAAUCAGCAGAUAUAUGGAAGGUUGUAUACUGAUACUGUUAAAAAAAAUAAUAAGUGUAAGAAACCUGAGCAUGAUUAUACAAAUAACACAUCUAACAAUAGAUGUCAUUGCCUCAGUCAGAGGCUCAGCCAAUCUUCUCUCAUACUUUUCUUGUUCUUUUUUUAAUAAUGACAAAGAAUUCCCAUGCUUCCUCAAUUCAUCCCCCAGUCCUUUCUCCUUAAUAUAAUUCCUUAAAUCCAGCCAAGCUGGAUUUUUCCGGACAGGGAUAGAAUUUAAGAACUAUGUUACCAAGGACAUUUCUGAAAAGGAAUUUGAAAGGGAGCCCUGGACCUGUGCUGGGAUGCAUCUGCUGAGAGAAUGCAGCAUGGCACUGCCUGUGAACACAGCUAUAUCACUUCUGGGUUGGGAGAGAAACAAAAGUAAUAUAGCAAAUUCAUGGAAGGUUUCAUGUGAGACAACUAAUUAGCUCUACUCCUCAGCACGAAUUCAGAGACAGAAAUAGUAGUUAAAUUCAUAUGAUGUCUGCAGUACCACACUAUGGCACCUAUAGUAAGUAACUAGAAGCUGUGUAGGCUAUUUCCAGUUCUAGGUAUCUGGAAUAAUUUUGGACUGAGUCCCUGUUUUUGUUGCCUAAAAUUGGUUCUUUUACUCCUCUCUCUCUAUAUUAAUUCACAAGUUCCAGGAUCAUUCACAAGUGUUCCUUUCUGUUGCUGGGUGACUA